UACCUAUCGAAAACAUACAAUACCACGUGAUCAACUAUGGCUGGGUGGUCGGCUUGUUGGUCAGUCUGGUGUUCCCCUUCCUCAAGGAGGAGACGAAAAACAAGGUAUAUUUCCACAACUCCAUGGAAAGUUUGCACAGUCAUGUGUCGCCUUCAGCUUUACCCAGAGAGUACGGGGGUGACAGACCUUCACCAGUGCAGGCGAAGAGGGUAAAAGAAUACCUGGACCCUCAAAAUACACGAUUAUCAGAUUUAUUGUCAUACGGAUAUAUGAAGAAACCUGAAGACUUCUAGCGCAAGGCCUUGACGUACUUAUUUUCUUAUUACAAACUGUAAUUGUUAAAUGUAAUAAAUUAUUGUUUUUAUGUUAA